GAUGAACGCUGGCGGCGUGCCUAAUACAUGCAAGUCGAGCGAACAGAUGAGGAGCUUGCUCCUCUGACGUUAGCGGCGGACGGGUGAGUAACACGUGGAUAACCUACCUAUAAGACUGGGAUAACUUCGGGAAACCGGAGCUAAUACCGGAUAAUAUAUUGAACCGCAUGGUUCAAUAGUGAAAGACGGUUUUGCUGUCACUUAUAGAUGGAUCCGCGCCGCAUUAGCUAGUUGGUAAGGUAACGGCUUACCAAGGCAACGAGGCGUAGCCGACCUGGGAGGGGGAUAGGCCACACUGGAACGGAGACACGGUCCAGACUCCUACGGGAGGCAGCAGUAGGCAACCACCCGCAGUAGGCGAAAGCCUGACGGAGCAACGGGGCGUGGGUUGUGAAGGCCAUCGGAUCGUAAAACUCUGUUAUUAGGGAAGAACAAAUGUGUAAGUAACUAUACACGUAUUGACGGUACCUAGUCAGAAAGCCACGGCUAACUACGUG
rnacentral:rRNA from 1 species